rnacentral:misc_RNA from 1 species
AAGUCGUAACAAGGUUUCCGUAGGUGAACCUGCGGAAGGAUCAUUAACACGUAUCCAACGUUAAAACAACCCCCGUGAACUUUCAGCUUGCUCCUGUAGCCCGUGAAAACAGCAAUCCCUGGUAAAUCAUUGUUGACCAGCUUUUGAGUCAGGGACCUCUGCCGAUUGUGAUAUUUUAUAGCUACGGUUGAGCGAUUGCAUCUAGUGACCUGGCAUCCCCAAGUAAUCAGUGUCUGAAAGUGUCAUUGAUUAUGUAAGGAUGGCGCAGUCACUGCCCCUUUACGACAACACAGUACGAAUUGGCCGCGCGUGAAAUUCGCACGGCACCAAAAACCGAACAACUGUUAACAAUGGAUAUCUUGGUUCUC